rnacentral:rRNA from 1 species
GCCCCUGAAAUUAUCAGAGGUGUAACCUGCCCAAUGAUUUUUAAAUAAAUAAUAAUAACAAUAUUAAAAUAAAAUUUAAAGGACGCGGUAACCUUGACCGUGAUAAUGUAGCAUAAUCAUUUGCCAUUUAAUUGAUGGAUAGUAUGAACGGUUAAACGAAUAUUACACUGUCUUAAAAAGAAAACUUAUAAAAUUGAAAUAAUAGUAAAGAUGCUAUUUAAAAUUGUAAGACGAAAAGACCCUAUAGAGCUUAACUAUAUUCUCUUUUUACUUAUUGGAAAACUCCUAAAUAAUAAAGAGAAAGGUAGUUUAGUUGGGGCGACUAUUUUCUAAAAAUAACGAAAAUAAACAAAAUUAAUAAAAUAAUUUAUUGUAUAAUCUAUAAAUUUAACAAUUACCAAAGUAGGUUAUAAUGACCCGUUAUAAUUUAAUAAUAAAUAUAACGAUUAAUAAAUAAAAGCUACCUUAGGGAUAACAGGAUAAUUUUGUUUUAGAGAUCUAAUCAAAAACAAAGUUUGUCACCUCUAUGUUGAAUUAAGAUAACCCGAUAAUGCAGAAGUUAUCAAAGGUAGGUCUGUUCGACCUUUAAAAUCUU